rnacentral:rRNA from 1 species
GAUAAACGCUGGCGGCGCACAUAAGACAUGCAAGUCGAACGGACUUAACUCAUUCUUUACGAUUGAGAGCGGUUAGUGGCGGACUGGUGAGUAACACGUAAGCAACCUGCCUAUCAGAGGGGAAUAACAGUGAGAAAUCAUUGCUAAUACCGCAUAUGCUAACAGUAUCGCAUGAUACAGUUAGGAAAGGAGCAAUCCGCUGAUAGAUGGGCUUGCGUCUGAUUAGCUAGUUGGUGGGUAACGGCCUACCAAGGCGACGAUCAGUAGCCGAGCUGAGAGGCUCAACGGCCACAUUGGGACUGAGAUACGGGCCCAGACUCCUACGGGAGGCAGCAGUCGGGAAUAUUGCGCAAUGGAGGAAACCCCUGAUGCAGCAACGCCGCGUGAAGGAUGAAGGUUUUCGGAUCGUAAAG